rnacentral:rRNA from 1 species
UGGGGAAUUUUGGACAAUGGGCGAAAGCCUGAUCCAGCAAUGCCGCGUGUGUGAAGAAGGCCUUCGGGUUGUAAAGCACUUUUGUCCGGAAAGAAAUCCUUGGCUCUAAUACAGUCGGGGGAUGACGGUACCGGAAGAAUAAGCACCGGCUAACUACGUGCCAGCAGCCGCGGUAAUACGUAGGGUGCAAGCGUUAAUCGGAAUUACUGGGCGUAAAGCGUGCGCAGGCGGUUUGCUAAGACCGAUGUGAAAUCCCCGGGCUCAACCUGGGAACUGCAUUGGUGACUGGCAGGCUAGAGUAUGGCAGAGGGGGGUAGGAUUCCACGUGUAGCAGUGAAAUGCGUAGAGAUGUGGAGGAAUACCGAUGGCGAAGGCAGCCCCCUGGGCCAAUACUGACGCUCAUGCACGAAAGCGUGGGGAGCAAACAGGAUUAGAUACCCUGGUAGUCCACGCCCUAAACGAUGUCAACUAGUUGUUGGGGAUUCAUUUCCUUAGUAACGUAGCUAACGCGUGAAGUUGACCGCCUGGGGAGUACGGUCGCAAGAUUAAAACUCAAAUGAAUUGACGGGGUCAUA